rnacentral:tRNA from 1 species
GGGGAUGUAGCUUAAUUGGCAAAAGCACACGACUUUUAAUCGUGAGAGCGUGGGUUCGAUGCCCAUCAUCCUCA